rnacentral:lncRNA from 1 species
AGGAAGAUUGGCCCUGAACUGACAUUUGUGCCAGUCUUCCUCUAUUUUGUAUGUGGGACGCCACCACAGCACGGCUUGACCAACGGUGUGUAGGUCCGCGCCCGGGAUCCGAACGUCGGAACUGGGCCGCCAAAGCGGAGCACGCGAACUUAACCACUACGACACCAGGCCGGCCCUUCAGCGUGGUUUGUAUUAAUCGAGGGCUGUGCUGGGGAGGAGGUCGAGCGGCUUCGGAGAGGCCAGGCCCCACGCACCCUCGAUGCUGGCCGAGGAGCACGGACUUCGCCCCGAGCGCGGAGGGAAGGUUGUGAAAGACGCUUGCUCUCUGGACCCCAGCGCAGAGUUGGAAGGCCGACCAACGAGACGGCCGCCGCUAGAGCGGCCGGCGCACUUCCGGUCGGGGCCACGCGAGUUCCGGCCGGCUGGGGCUGGCCACCGGAAGCGCGGGAGCGGGCGGGGGCCCAGUGGCGCUGCCGGGCGCCGGGUUCUCAAGAGGCCGCGACCCUGGCAGCCCACCUGGGACGCCCUGGAGGGAGGCGUUCAGGCCACAGGUUUAAGACGGAGCUCCUGUGGGCCAGGGCAGCGCGUGAGGCGGGUGACGCACAGACGGCGUGGGUGAAGCCCCGCCACCCCCCAACCCCUCCGUGUGAGGGCUCGGCGCACGCGCGCCCCCCGGCCCGGAGCUCCGGGCGGAAGUCUCGGCGCCCCUGGUUGGCGGCGCUCCUCGGCCCCUGGCAGCAGCAAACGCAAGUCGUUUUGGGCGAGUUCGCUUGAAGCCCAGGAUAAACGAAUUGUUGGUGAAGGGAAGUUAUGUACGGAAUUCCACCUAAUAACUGCAGAAGAAAUAUAGCGACGUCAUGGUUGCUGAAGCCUGUAGGUGGCAGACUGAUGAGGACAAUGCACGGACCGGCUCACUCUCCGCAUCCGUGAAUGGCCCCAACUUUGCCGAAAGGAAGCCACUCAGGGCCUCCUGGUCUGAAGCAGCAGAAUCUGCACGGUGCAACCUGCAAAGAACGCUCGAUCAGAAGCAAAGCUCUGACCUAAUCAAGCUUUGGGACCUGACUAUCAAUGUAUAUAAGAUAGAGGGAACAGAGGAAGAUGUUAAAAGACAGUAGGGAUGCAGUCAUCCAGAUCCUCUUUAGGGCAAAUGACUCAGGUUUUUUCUGAAAAAUAAAUGACAAGGGAAAAAAAAGAGGGAGGGGUAAUUAUCAAUUAACAGAGACUUAAGACAUAGGUCCUCUAAGUGCAGCAUGUGCACCUUGUUCAAAACCCUCAUUCUAAUUUGUAAUGUUAAGUCAAGAUAGGAAGAGUUUCCUGGUAAUUAUGAAGCUAAUAGACUGCAGCACGCCCCACUUCCUCUUCCCAGGCACUGCUCCUAUCCGCUGACACUCCAGUCUCUCUCUUCUGCCCAGACCCUCCUGUCCCCAAGACCCUCCAGCCCACCACUUUCCAUGAAAUCCUUCCUGGAGAGACAUCAGGGUAGGCACUUGUCAGUUUCUCCUUGUAGUUCUGUCCCUGUUACUUUAUGUGUUUGAAAGCAAGUAUUAGUUGCGUAUAAGUUUAGAACUACUAGCUGUUCUCCGUGAAUUGAACCUUUCAUCAGUCUGCAGUGUUCUUCUUUACCUCUGCCCACAGCCGGUCUGACAUUAACGUGGCUGCUCCAACUUUCUUUUGGUUUGUUUUGCACACACCUUUCUUUGGGUGUCAAUUUUAUAUUUCAGGUGUGUCCCUAGAAACAGUAUAAAUGGUUCUUAUAUUUCGAAUACAGUCCUGACUUGAAUACACUCUUCUCUUUUUGUGGUCACCUGAGAAAUGUUAACACGCACAUUUAAGCUCAUAAUUUAUGAAGAUAAUAUCUUUACCCUCCUCCCAACCCUCAAAAUGCUUUAAAUUUUGAUCACAUCUUCCUGGCUGAGAACCUAUUGAUAACAAGAUUACCCACAAAUUAGACAUUGUUACUUUCCUUGUGAAAGUUCAUCCACCUGCAUACUUACCAUUUGGGACAUAUUUGUAUGUUGUUAUGCUUUGACAGAAAGCUGACUUUCCAAAUCCUGCAGGUUUAGUUCUGGUAGUCCCUUAUUCCUUGCUCAGCUUUCUGGCUUCUCCCUCUCAACGAGCCGCUCAAACUCAGCCCUGGUUGACCUGUCUGGUUGCCACCCUGACAGCUCCUAUGGGGAUGGAGGAGAGCAUGACCCCACAGGGCCCUGAUGCUGGAUCACCCAGCCCAGGGGACAUAAAGCAGUGGAGGGGACAGGAUGGCCCUCAGGGGGCACCUCCAGUCCGGGCCCCCUCUUCUCUUCUGUCCCAUCAAAACCCACCCACUGCUCUGUGGCUCCUGUGCCAAGUCACCACUGCACACUCGGUGGGGGCCGCGGGGGCUUUCCUGUCACCACCUGGAGCCCCUCCCUAGGAUCUUGAGGGCAGUCCGGAGAGCAGGGACCAGAGCAAGCCCAUCCGCAGCGAUGCUUGGUCCCCUCCCAAAAAAGAGCCGCUGACUGUUCAGCUUCCAGUCACCUCGGCAGAGGCAGGAGGGACACUGGUUGCCAGGGGACGGUGGGUAGGUCCCUUGGAGGGUGUAGUGAGGGUUACAGUGAGGGCACCGUCUCCGGAGGGUUCAGGCUGGGCUGGGCCAGGGUGUGUGCCAAUAGCGGCAAUAGCCAGAAAGCAGGGGAGUGGGCAGCCGUAAGGCCGGGCAGGGCACAGGGUGAGUGGGAGCAGCAUCCCAACCUGCGGAGGAAAGUCACGUGAUGAGGAGGGAGCCUGCCUUGGCCUGGACGCCAGGGCCCAUCCCGCUGGGUUGUACCUCUGCACAAGGCCUGCCGGAGAAGAGGGGCAGCUGGCUGCUGGAACAAGCAAAGGGCUCUCACCAUCAGGUCUCUCUUUGUGACUAAAAAUCCAAGAAUUCCAAAAAAAGUAAACACUUACCUGUUAGAAUGGCUAAAGUCCAAAAUGCUGACAACAACAAGUGCUGCCGAGGAUGUGGAGCAACAGAACUCUCAUCUGUUGCUGGUGGGAAUGCAAAAUAGUGCAGCCACUUUGGAAGACAGUUUGGUGGGUUUUUACAAAAUUAAAAUAUUCUUACAAUAUGAUCCAGCAGUCAUGCUCCCUGGUGUUUAUCCAAAGGAGCUGAAGACUUGUGUCCACACAGAAGCCUGCCCACGGAGAUUCACGGCAGCUUUGUUCACAAUCGCCCAAAAGCAACCAAGACGCUGUUCAGUGGGUGAUGGACAGAUAAACGUGGUCCAUCCAGACAACAGGAUAUCAUUCAGUGCCAAAAAUAAAUGAGCUAUGAAGCCGUGAAAAGACACAGAGGAACCUUAAAUGCAUGUUACUAAGUGAAAGAAGCCAAUCUGAAAAGGCUACAUAGUCUGUGAUUCCAACUCUAUGACAUUCUGGAAAAGGCAAAACUAUGAAGACAGUAAAAAGAUCAGGGGCUGCCAGGGGUACUUGCGGGGGGGGGGGGGAUGAAUAGACCGGCACAGGGGAUUUUUAGGUCUGUGAAACUGCUCUGUACGAUACGAUAAUGGUGGAUACGUGUCUAUACGUUUGUCCAGACCCACAGAACGUGCAACACCAAGAGCGAACCCUGAUGUAAACUAUGGGCUUUAUUAAUAAUGGAUCCAUAUUGGCUCAUCAGUUGUAGCAAAUGAACCGCACUAAUGCAAGAUAUUAAUAACAGGAGAAACUGGGGGGUCAGGAGUACAUGGCAACUCUCUGCACUUUCUGAUCAAUUUUUCAGUCAGCCUAAAACUACUCUAAAAAUAUAAAGUCUCUUAACUUUUUUUUAAAAAGUAAAAACAUUAAAGUAGUGGAAGCCUUUUAUAUUCCUGAGGAGUGGAAAGCAUUUUUUAACAAGAAAGAAAACCCCAAGGCAUAAAAGAAAAGAUUACUAUAAGAAGAUAGAAAAUUAAUGUAAAGAACUCUAAGGUAAGGGCCGGCCCUGUGGUGUCGUGGUUUGGGUGCGGGGCACUCCACUUCGGCAACCUGGGUUCACAGGUUUGGAUCCUGGGCACCAACAAGCCAUGGUGUGGCAGCGACCCACAUAGGAAGUGGAGGAAGACUGGCACAGAUGUUAGCUCAGGGCUAAUCUUCCUCAAGCAAAAAAACCCAAAAAGCAAAAGAGGAAGAUUGGCAACAGAUAUUAGCUCAGGACUAAUCUACCCCAGGAAAAAAAAAACUAAGGUAAAAUACACCAUAAAUUAGAAGGCAAACAACAAUCUUGGCAAAAAUAUUUACAACAGAUAAAAGAGACAAAGGACAACUCUCUUUAUAAUGAGCUAUAAAGAAAAGAAAAAGAGCCAACAACCCACCAGCAAAAGCAGGCAGAGGCCUUGGAGACCAGAGAACACAGUGCUGAUGCACAGGCGACAAGACAGUGCCCCGGGCCUGGGGAGAUGCCGAGUAAAGCAGUGCCACAUGAGGGAGGCCCCCACGCAGGGUGGGAAGGGCUCCGUCACGCUGAGCCUGAGGCGGGCCGUCUGCCUCUCUUAAAUUCGAAGCAGGCAGACUGUGACCAGCGGCUCUCCAGGAAUCCUUUCUGCGUAUAUGCCGUGGGUUGAACUGUGUCCCCAGAAAGAUCUGUACGAAUCCUAACCUCCAGAUCCGACCGUGUUUGGAAAUAGGGUUGCUGCAGAUGUAAUUAGCUGAGAUGAGGUCACAAUGGAGUGGGGCCCCUAAUCCAAUAGGACGGGUGUCUUUGUAAGAAGACAGAGACACAUGGGGUGAAUGCCAUGUGACCACAGAGGCAGAGACUGGAGUGACGUGGCCACGAGCCAAGGGACGCCAAGGAUGGCCGGCGCCACCAGCAGCAGGAAGAGGCAGGAAGGAUCCUCCCUCCAGGAGAUGGAUGCGACCCACAUGCGCACACAGACGCGGGAGACCGUUCACCGCAGCACGAUACUCACGGGAAGCGUCCUUCAGCAGGACACAGCGUGAAGCUCCGUGAGGCUGCUACCCGAGGAGGACGCGGAGCGUCCACGGUAGACUGACGAGAGCAGGUGCAGGACGAUGUGGGGAGUACGGCUCCGUUAUUGCGAGGAAAACAAACCAAAGUCAUGGGCUUACUGACACGGCACAGGACAAGCAGCUGGGGACAUGCCACCGUGAACAGACUAUCCCCGGGGAGUGGGGCUGGGUGAGGGGGGUCUUUGACUUUUCACUGUCUCCCAGAGAGGUAUGCUUUCUCAAGUAUGAGGCUUCUAUUCAACCGUUAACUUGGAAUAAAUUUCACUAGAAUAACAUGCACUUG